rnacentral:sRNA from 1 species
GCGGGGUGUGGUGGUGCACACCUGUAAUCCCAGAAACUCGGGAGGCUGAGGAAGGAGGAUCAUGAGUUGAAAGCCAGCCUCAGCAACUUCACGAGGCCCUAUGCAACUUAGUGAGACCCUGUCUCAA